rnacentral:rRNA from 1 species
GCAGCAGCCGCGGUAAUACAGAGGGUGCGAGCGUUAAUCGGAUUUACUGGGCGUAAAGCGUGCGUAGGCGGCUUCUUAAGUCGGAUGUGAAAUCCCUGAGCUUAACUUAGGAAUUGCAUUCGAUACUGGGAAGCUAGAGUAUGGGAGAGGAUGGUAGAAUUCCAGGUGUAGCGGUGAAAUGCGUAGAGAUCUGGAGGAAUACCGAUGGCGAAGGCAGCCAUCUGGCCUAAUACUGACGCUGAGGUACGAAAGCAUGGGGAGCAAACAGGAUUAGAUACCCCUGUAGUCCCUGUCUCUUAUA